CUGGCGGCUCAAGCAGCGCAGCCUCCUCGGGACAGCUUAGCCCUAAGCGGGGAACCAGGAGGUGAAGAGGGAGCCGGGAUGGUGGUGGGAGAAGUGAGGGUGAGCUGUGACAGCAAACAGGACGUGAGGAUUUGGGGUCUGCAACUGGCUGAGGAAGGGAAAGAGUGGGGAUGAGAUAUUCUUGAAGUUCUUCUACUGGUGAAGACCCUGGGACCAGAGGCUGAGAACUAAGAGCAAGAGCAAAGGCAAAGUGCACUUUGAUGUUAUUGCCAGUAAAGACAAAUUGGGAGCAUCCCAAAUGGUCACAAUAAAAAAAAAAAAAAAAUCUAAAAGUGCUCAACUCUUCUUUAUCCUUGUUUAGAAACUUUCUUCAGGAGGGAAGGUGCUGAACACCUUCUAAAAAUAGCCAUGCUAAUAAUAAUUACUGCAUGUUUCCAGAGUCACAGGAUGGUUUGUGAUGGAAGGGACCUUGAAGAUGAUCCAGUUCCAUCCCCUGCCAUGGGCAGGGACACUUUCCCCUAGGCCAGGGUGCUCCAAGCCCCCCUGUGCUCCUGGCUGGGCAGCUGCAGCAGAUCCCACUUUAAUGUCACCUGUAUCUGCCAUCCCUUAGUCCUGACCCAUAAAUUCUCCCUUAGCUCCUCUUCCAUCCUCAGGUAAAGCUCCUUGUAUUCCAUCUGCUCCUCAGCAAAGCAGACAGCCCCUCUUCAUCUCCUGUGCUCUUCCUAAAGAGAAUUCCUAUUCCUGUUCUUCCUGCAUCCUUCCAUUCCAUCCCAAUCCAAAGGAGCCAUCCCACCACAUCUCCACGAUGCCAACAACAAGAUCACAGCCCUACAGAACACAUCCCUGAUCCUCUGGUUCAUUCCACAUGCUCAGAACAGAGGAAUUUGAGCUGGAUCAGUGAUGGAGCCAUUUUCCUGUGUGGAGUGCCUGGAAUUCCUUUGUGCUGCUCUCCAGGUGCAUUCCUGCUGACCUGCAGUCCCUCUCCAAGCUCAAGGCAUUUUUUACCGACCCUGGCACCAAACUGGCAGGAGAGGGAUGGGUUGAGAUUCCCCUUCCCCUGGGAACUCUCUUUUCCCACACCAGCUGCUGGGAGCUGCGAGCCACUCGUUUAAAACCCCGGUUAGCACAAAAGGUUUCUUUGAUGGUGGGAAAAGCAGUUUCCUUUGCAGGGCUCUCAAUGUGCUUCCCAAGCAGAGCCAUAGAUGGCAGUACGUGGUAUUUACAGAGUUAUUUCCACAAGUAAAUCUUCUUAUUUUAGCAGAAAGCGACAGAAUUUCAUUUUCUUGUAGUUACAACGCGCUCAGAAUGAGAACUCCUAAAUCAAUGGAGAAAGCAAGAAAAGCCUCCUUGCCUGAGCACUGGCAGACAGAGCUUGAAAUGCAAAAUCCCUCUGUGCUCCACAGGAUUCUCUAUCCCCUUUCACAGGGAUGAUACCUGAGGAGUUGAACAAGAAAACAAUUUUCCAUACUGGAGAAAAGUUGAAGUUCUCUCAAGUGACUGUCACAAAAGCCUGAAACGAGCUCAAAAUUCUGGGUUCACUUUCAAAAACCAGCAGUUGGGGGUGUGGAUGUGAAUUUAAUUCAGGCCAGACAAAAGAGGUUACUUUGAUUUCAACUUAUAGUUCCACUUUGUUUUUGCUUUACUAUCACUAGCUUAGCUUCAAAAAAUAAAAUAAAAAAAGUUAAAGUAACAAUGUUUGGGAUUUCUUUCCCUCCUUUUCUCCUUGUUAUAGAAAAACACACUGAAGUCUGAUUUCAAUGAACUGACACUUCUAGCCCAAAGUAUCACAUUAAAGGAAUAUGCAACUUGCUGAUUUAAUUUCCAUUAAAAUAAAUUAAUUUCCCCAAGUUCAGCCUGUUUGGCCCUUGAGGGUAACUGGUGACUGAUCUGUCCCUGUCCUUUUCUCAACCUAGGAGCCUUUCAUUAUUUUUUCUUUCUCCUGUCCAGUCGAGGGGCCUGACAGAGCAGCUUAGGAGGGCACCUGACAUCCAACCAGGGUCAACCCACCACAGUCACCUUCUUGUCCCUAUGUUCCCAACAUCCAGGAGCUUAAUCUCUGUUGGUUUCUUCACAUCCAAGUAUCCAAGUCAGCUUUUCACAGAUGUCAGAAGAAAUAGGCACAAAAAAAUAAAAAAAGAAUUUCCAAAAGUUCACACAUUGGUGGUUUCCAACCUCGUUUUUCAUAUUUAGACAUUUCAAAUCACCCCCUAGAUGUAAUUCUUGAGGCCAGGUGCUUCCAGGCUCCCCCAGAAACCAGUGGAGCUGGAGAGUGCUCAGCAUCUUUACGGGUCUGUUCCUUAGAUGUUCUCAUGAAUGGAAAUCUGUGGUUUUCCAGUGUCUGUAUUUCACCUGAGCAUCCUGAAAUUAAAGGCUGAUCCUGCAGUUGUGUAAAUGAUUUGACAUAAGCAUAUGUAAAACAAGUUUGAUCCCAUAAUUUAUAGUCUAUUGAAAUUGGAAGUCCCUCAGAGGAAGGUGGGAUUAAUACCAAAUCAGGGAAGAAAAAACCCAUUAAGAUUAAAUAAA